rnacentral:rRNA from 1 species
ACGGAGAGGGAAAGCGUUGUUCGGAUCUAUAGGGCGUAAAGCGCGCGUAGGCGGUAUGGUAAGUCGGAUGUUAAAGACCCACGGCUCACCCGGGGGAAUGCGUCAGAUGCUGCCGUACUGGAGUACGGGAGAGGGAAGUGGAAUUCCUAGUGUAGCGGUGAAAUGCGUAGAUAUCAGGAGGAACACCUGUGGCGAGGGCGGCUUUCUGGCCCGUAACUGACACUGAGACGCGAAAUCGUGGGGAGCGGUCGG